GACGAACGCUGGCGGCGUGCUUAACACAUGCAAGUCGAACGGAAAGGCCCUGCUUUUGUGGGGUGCUCGAGUGGCGAACGGGUGAGUAACACGUGAGUAACCUGCCCUUGACUUUGGGAUAACUUCAGGAAACUGGGGCUAAUACCGGAUAGGAGCUCCUGCUGCAUGGGGGGGGUUGGAAAGUUUCGGCGGUUGGGGAUGGACUCGCGGCUUAUCAGCUUGUUGGUGGGGUAGUGGCUUACCAAGGCUUUGACGGGUAGCCGGCCUGAGAGGGUGACCGGCCACAUUGGGACUGAGAUACGGCCCAGACUCCUACGGGAGGCAGCAGUGGGGAAUAUUGCAAAAUGGGCGGAAGCCUGAUGCAGCAACGCCGCGUGCGGGAUGACGGCCUUCGGGUUGUAAACCGCUUUCGCCUGUGACGAAGCGUGAGUGACGGUAAUGGGUAAAGAAGCACCGGCUAACUACGUG
rnacentral:rRNA from 1 species